UGGCGCCAUGCUGCGUACCCAAGUGCCCCCGCUUCUCCGAUCCACAACCGCCAUUGUCUGGUCGUGCCGUGUAAUGGCCGCUGCCUCCGCCAUGGCUGAACCUUCCUCUGAGACGACCUCUGAGGAGCAGCUGAUCACCCAGGAGCCCAAAGAGGCCAACUCCACGAUGGCCCAAAAGCAGAGCAAGCAGAGGAAGCGAGGGCGCCGUGGGCCCUGCAGGUGUCACGCCAACUGCCGCGGGGACAGCUUCGCCACCUAUUUCCGCCGGGUGCUGAAGCAGGUUCACCAGGGCCUCAGCCUUUCCCGGGAGGCCGUGAGUGUCAUGGAUUCUUUGGUCCAUGACAUACUGGACCGCAUCGCCACCGAGGCUGGUCGCCUGGCCCGCUCCACCAAGCGCCAGACCAUCACCGCCUGGGAGACCCGGAUCGCUGUGCGCCUGCUGCUGCCGGGGGAGAUGGGCAAACUGGCAGAGUCCGAAGGCACGAAGGCUGUCCUCAGAACUUCACUAUAUGCCGUACAGCAACAGAGAAAGUGAAUAGGCUGAUACAAGAAGCAAGGUAACCUUCCUAAACCUUUUCAACACCUCUCCCAUCGCGAAUCCAUAAUAUUAGAAAAGUGUUAUGAAAGUAGUUAAAGAGAAAUGCUCACUGCACAAGUGGACCAAGAAAAACCCCCAUGAAGACAGCAACAACUAAAUCGUUCUGGAUGGUGCCGCCGGGUGAUCCUACAUGUCUGGAGCAACACUUUGAAAACCAAAGACACUUGGCAGAACCCUGUUCCUAUCCAGAAACAGAGCUGUGUACCUGGUCCAAAGCACCACAUCUCACUGAGUGACUUAUUUCUUAUUAUGCUAACUGUUUUGCUUUAAAGCGCCAAUCUUUCUGUCAAAUGGGAUGUACAAAUAAAUUUCUAAGUUAUCCUUGCA